GGGGCUGGGGCUCAGUGGUAGAGCGCUUGCCUAGUAUGCGUGAGGUACUGGGUUCAAUACUCAGCACCCCA
rnacentral:tRNA from 1 species